rnacentral:rRNA from 1 species
AUACGGAAGGUCCGGGCGUUAUCCGGAUUUAUUGGGUUUAAAGGGAGCGCAGGCGGAGAUGCAAGCGUGACGUCAAAUUUCGGGGCUCAACCCCGUCUCGCGUCGCGAACUGCGUCCCUUGGUUGCGGGAAGGGGAGGCGGAACUCGUGGUGUAGCGGUGAAAUGCAUAGAUAUCACGAAGAACUCCGAUCGCGAAGGCAGCCUUCCGGCCCGUCAACGACGCUCAUGCUCGAAGGUGCGGGUAUCAAACAGGAUUAGAUACCCUGGUAGUCCGCACAGUAAACGAUGGACACCCGCGGUUUGGCCUAUAUGGCUGAGCCGCCAAGCGAAAGCGUUAAGUGUCCCACCUGGGGAGUACGCCGGCAACGGUGAAACUCAAAUGAAUUGACGG